ensembl:misc_RNA Metazoa_SRP Metazoan signal recognition particle RNA
GCUGGGCGUGGUGGCGUGUGCCUGUAGUCCCAGCUAUUUGGGAAGCUGAGGCUGGAGGAUCUCUUGAAUCCAGGAGUUCUGGGCUGUAGUGCACUAUGCCAAUCAGGUGUCCGCACUAAGUUCAGCAUCAAUAUGGUGACCUCCCUGGAGCAGGGGACCACCAGGUUGCCUAAAGAGGGGUGAACCGGCCUAGGUCAGAAACGGAGCAGGUCAAAACUCCAGUGCUGAUCAGUAGUGGGAUUGUGCCUGUGAAUAGCCACUGCACUCCAACCUGGGCAACAUAGAGAGACCCCGUCUCUU